AGUUUGAUCAUGGCUCAGGAUGAACGCUAGCGGGAGGCUUAACACAUGCAAGUCGUGGGGCAGCAUUUGGUAGCAAUACUGAGAUGGCGACCGGCGCACGGGUGAGUAACGCGUAUGCAACCUACCCUGUACAGGGGGAUAGCCCGGAGAAAUUCGGAUUAAUACCCCAUAAAGAUAUUUGAAGGCAUCUUUAGAUAUUUAAAGUUUCGGCGGUACGGGAUGGGCAUGCGUAACAUUAGCUAGUUGGUAGGGUAACGGCCUACCAAGGCAACGAUGUUUAGGGGUCCUGAGAGGGUGAUCCCCCACACUGGUACUGAGACACGGGCCAGACCCCUACGGGAGGCAGCAGUGAGGAAUAUUGGGCAAUGGGCGCAAGCCUGACCCAGCCAUGCCGCGUGCAGGAUGACGGCGCUAUGCGUUGUAAACUGCUUUUGUUUAGGAAGAAACCCAUCUACGUGUAGGUGGUUGACGGUACUGAAUGAAUAAGCAUCGGCUAACUCCGUGCCAGCAGCCGCGGUAAUACGGAGGAUGCAAGCGUUAUCCGGAUUCAUUGGGUUUAAAGGGUGCGUAGGCGGAGUACUAAGUCAGCGAUGAAAUCCUGCAGCUUAACUGUAGAUCUGUCAU
rnacentral:rRNA from 1 species